ensembl:lncRNA
CUCAGCUCCUUCAGCUUUGUUGUGGCAGGGAAAGUGUAAAAAUACAGUCUGAUAAAUGCUGUUUCUUUGAACGAAUAUUUUGCCAUUAGACUCAGAACCCUGACCAGACACACGUGCUAUCAAUUCUAGUGUUUUUCCUUUCGGAGAACUUAAAGAUCAGCAUCGUCAACGAUGGUAAGAGGGCGCUAACGCAUUAGCCUUUAGCCAAUGUCGUCACUCGUCCAGUGUAGUGGGGUGCUCGGCUUACGACGUCGUCAGCUACACAGUUCAACAUAGCGAUCUAAAUGAGACGUACAAAUAAUAAUGUGAUUUAAUGCUACUGAUGGCUACACGGAUCCCCGACCUGAAGUGUUUCACUGUCUGAGGAUCGGAAGAAUCAAUCCACAGUGCUGACAAUCUCCACAGGAACACUACACCCUGAUCGUCGAUUUCGCUUUUGGGGGACGUAUGCAGACAAGCCCCCUGACCCCCACGGCUGCCCUCGACCGCCUCGCCCCAUCCGACCCUCCCCCUCCCUCCCUCCCUCCCUCCCUC